AUGGAUUCAACUUGGGAGAAGAGGCUGGUCAAGCGUUACUAUGACAAGCUUUUUAAAGAGUAUUGCAUUGCUGACAUGACCCAGUAUAAAAAAUGCAAGAUUGGAUUGAGAUGGAGAACAGAAAAGGAAGUGAUAUCUGGCAAAGGGCAAUUUAUCUGUGGUAAUAGGCGUUGUGAUGAAAAACAUGGGCUAGGCAGUUAUGAGGUGAAUUUUUCUUAUGUUGAAGCAGGGGAGCAGAAACAAGCACUAGUGCAGCUGGUAGCUUGCAAGAGAUGUGCAGAAAAGCUUGCUUAUAAGAGGCUGAAGGAGAAAGAGAAAGAGAAGGAGGGGGAUCCCUACGGUGAAAAGGAAAUUGAGUUGAAAGACAGGGACAAGAGAAAGAGAGAACACGAAGGAAGUGAUGAUACCUCUGAGGAUGAGGCCAAGAAAGAUAGAAGAAAGAAAAAAGAUCGGAAGGGAGCUUCUUCAAGGAGUUCAGGAAACAACGAUGAAGGUUUCGAAGAGUUCCUCGAAGGCAUGUUCCCA
rnacentral:rRNA from 1 species